GACGAACGCUGGCGGCGUGCUUAACACAUGCCAGUCGAACGGAAAGGCCCUGCUUUUGUGGGGUGCUCGAGUGGCGAACGGGUGAGUAACACGUGAGUAACCUGCCCUUGACUUUGGGAUAACUUCAGGAAACUGGGGCUAAUACCGGCUAGGAGCUCCUGCUGCAUGGUGGGGGUUGGAACGUUUCGGCGGUUGGGGAUGGACGCGCGGCUUAUCAGCUUGUUGGUGGGGUAGUGGCUUACCGAGGGUUUGGCAGGUGGCCGGCCUGGGAGGGGGACCAGCGACAUUGGUACUAAGAUAGGCAGCAGACUCCUACGGGAGACAGCAGUCGGGAAUAUUGUACAAUGGGCGGAAGCGUGAUGCAGCAACGCUGCGUGCGGGAUGACGGCCUUCGGGUUGUAAACCGCUGUAGCCUGUGACGAAGCGUGAGUGACGGUAAUGGGUAAAGAAGCACCGGCUAACUACGUG
rnacentral:rRNA from 1 species